GAAAGGACUGUAGCUCAGUGGCUGAGCAUCUGCUUUUGCAUGCACAAGGUCCCAGGUUCAAAAAAAUCCAUGGUAUCUUCA